AAUGAAUAUACAGGUUAUGGUUUGCCCUCGUUUCUUGGACGGAGGGACCAAUGCAGUGAGCACUGUGUCAACCAGCUGGAUAACUGACUCUGACCCAACAGAAACCUCCCCGCUGUCCUUCUAAAGUUAUCUGGCAAGGUGAAACUGGGGAAGGAAGGCACCAUCACCGUCUCAGCCCAUUGUUGGAAGACUGCAAAAGCACAAGCUACAGCCAGUGGGACGGCACGAGUGCUACUGAUGGAACUCUUUAAUGUUGAUGUUUUUCUGAACUAAGCAUACCUUUAUCUGUUUUUGUAUUAUACAUAUAGUAGUAUAUGGUAGUAUAUAUUCUUGAAUUUAUAGUGAAGUGUAUUGUUAAAUAUAUAAUAAAAUAAAUUGUGAUGUGUGGUAAUAGAUGGUAUGUGUAUUAUUGAUAGUAAUAUAUUAAAAUAUAUUCUUGAAUACAUAGUGAAGUGUAUUGUUCAAAAUAUAAAGUACAAUAUAUAGUACACUGCAAAAUAUGUGGUAAUAAAUGGUACAUAAUAAUUGAUAAGUCAUGUUCAUAUGUUGCCAUUGCUGUUACAGUUACCAUUUUAGCUAUAUUGGUAUCUGCACAUUCGACCAGUCAGUCAGUCAAUCUACAUUUUAAAUUUAACAGUUGAGAGUCUUAAACCAAUAGAAAAUAAAACUGCUUGAAUUCAAAAGAGAAUAAAUGUGCUAAAAUGUG